rnacentral:rRNA from 1 species
CCUACGGGAGGCAGCAGUGGGGAAUAUUGGACAAUGGGGGGAACCCUGAUCCAGCCAUGCCGCGUGUGUGAAGAAGGCCCUCGGGUUGUAAAGCACUUUCAGUGAGGAAGAACGCCUGGUGGUUAAUACCCAUCAGGAAAGACAUCACUCACAGAAGAAGCACCGGCUAACUCCGUGCCAGCAGCCGCGGUAAUACGGAGGGUGCGAGCGUUAAUCGGAAUUACUGGGCGUAAAGCGCGCGUAGGUGGCUUGAUAAGCCGGUUGUGAAAGCCCCGGGCUCAACCUGGGAACGGCAUCCGGAACUGUCAAGCUAGAGUGCAGGAGAGGAAGGUAGAAUUCCCGGUGUAGCGGUGAAAUGCGUAGAGAUCGGGAGGAAUACCAGUGGCGAAGGCGGCCUUCUGGACUGACACUGACACUGAGGUGCGAAAGCGUGGGUAGCAAACAGGAUUAGAUAACCUAGUAGUC